AAAGCUCUGAACGUCUAUUUAUGUAUGUGUAUCUAUAUAUUUACCUAUAUAUUAUGGUUUUAUUUUGACUAUUCAUAUGUUCAGUAUCUUACAAGGUUAAGUAAUUUAUAAUCACAAAAUUUACAAAAAUAAUAAAGAAAUUUUGAUAAACAUUGAUACAAACACAUGAAUGAUAUGAUUUAUAUUUGCACUUAUUAUUAUUAUUAUAUGUCCUCCAUAAGAUACUCGCAUGAGCUUUUAUCUCGCACUCUAUUAAUAUAAUAAACUAUAUAACAGUUUUAGCUAAUACUUUAAAAGACAUAAAUUGCGUAUAAACAUAGUGCAAAAGUCACAUUAUAAUAAAAUAACAUUCUAAUUACUUAAAUAACUUAAAAUCAACAAAGGUGUAAGUACAAAAAAAUAGACAAUAUAAUAAAGCUAAAAAUUGCACUACUUUUCCAUAUUCCUAGUUUAUCUAUCAUAUACAAACUCUUCAAGAAAUAUCAAAUAAUUUGUAUCGCUUCAUGUCUCAUAGCUAUCUCUUUUAUUGGGAGGAUUAGCUCUUAUAGGUGUAUUUCUAUUUGCAGGUUAUUAUUUUAAAGAUGUUAUUCUUGAACAAGCAUUUGAUAAUAAAUUCCUAUAUUCUUUAGGAGUUAUUGCAAUAUUGUUUACUUCCUUUUUCUCAGCGAAGUUUGAGAAUUUUGGGCAUUUUUUAUAAUAAGUCGUUAGAAAAAUCUUAUUGUAGAAAAGCUCCUUUGAUUAUGAAUAUUUCAAUAUCAUUAUUAAUAUUAGGAUGUAUUUUCUCUGGAUGGUACAGAUAUAAUAGUUUAUCUCUUACUACAUCUAAAUAUUUUAAUAAUAGUAUCUUGUUUAGUAAUGUGUAUGAAGUAGAUAAAAUGAUCAAUUCUAUCCCUUUAGUAUUUGGUAUUAUAGGCCUUGUCCGCAUAGGGCAACAAAACACACGGGAACUUCCGACCGUGACUUAAAAUCUUAUUAAAUAAUUUUGCUCUUUUGUGUACCCUUCUUCUUGUAGCUUCUUCUUCAAGCUUGCUGCACGCCCGGCUUCUCUAAAUGUAAAAUACGCAUGACUAAGCUCUUUAUUGUGACUUGAUAUCCCAUUUGCUGAAAGCUCUCUGUUGCAAUUAGGAUUAAUAAUCUCUCUCUUUCUGUCUCUCUCUUUACCUCUCUUUGCUCCUUUGUCUCGUUACAUCGCCGUCGAAAAUUAUUACGCAACCGAAAAAAUCCGCGCAGCUUUGACAUAGAUGUACUUAUGAGAAUUUUAUGACUUGAUAAAUGCUUUUCAUUUAUAUGGCUUUUAGUGAUACUAAUAUCAAUUUGAGAUAGCUUCGAUUCGCAUCGAUAAUUGCAAUACGGUAAGAGAGUAAAAAGCAUCUAUUAUACUUGUGAAUUGACGUCAACAUUUUAAGUAAUGUAAAAAUAUCUGUAAAACGUUUCCGAGCUUUUAAUGUUUUUUUUAACAAUUUUUAUUAUUUUUAAUGUGUUUGCUCCUUUUCAAAUUGAAAGAGUAAUAACAUUUCGUGUAAUUCGAUUCUCCAUUACUUAGUCAUGUUCUAAGAAGCUAGUACGGCGGCGGGCAGAAUGAGCUCGGCGCUCAAGCCUAAGCUUCAUUAAGAACUUACUCGGCCGUCCAAUGGUCGUGUUUGUCGCUGAAGUUUCGAGCGACGUUGGAACAUAACCCAAGACAUUUGACACAAAUAUGACACAAAAACCAACAAAAUUUUAAUUGGACAAUAAAAAUUAUUAUUAUAUUGGAGCUGAAGUAUCCAAGUAUUUAAAUUUAACUAAUGACUAUAUCCAGGCCUGUAUAAGCGACAAAUUAAUAAACAAGAACGACAAGUUAUAAUUGACAAAGGCUAAAAAAUUACAAAAUUACCUACAGCUAAGAUUAUACUAUUACGUGCAAACGAGAUAGAUGAGAUUUUUAGUGGUCAAGGCGACAAAUAUAAAGAAGACACUUCGGAGUUAACUAAUUUGGAACAAAAACUAACAGCAGACCAAAAAAAUGGGUUAAGCAAUAAGAUGAAAAUUAUGUCCGAUUUAUUAGAAAAUUUAACCCAAGACUUCGAGAAUCACAAAAAGUCCACGCAAGAAGAAAUUGCACAACUUAAAAAACAAAUAAAAAAAUUAAGUAAUAAGUCACAUUAAGAUGAUUAUAAGUAUAUAUAUAUAGGCAAAUAACAUUAAGAUGAUUAUAAAUAUAUA